AGUGAACGCUGGCGGUAGGCCUAACACAUGCAAGUCGAACGGCAGCACAGUAAGAGCUUGCUCUUACGGGUGGCGAGUGGCGGACGGGUGAGGAAUACAUCGGAAUCUACUUUUUCGUGGGGGAUAACGUAGGGAAACUUACGCUAAUACCGCAUACGACCUAUGGGUGAAAGCAGGGGAUCUUCGGACCUUGCGCGAUUGAAUGAGCCGAUGUCGGAUUAGCUAGUUGGCGGGGUAAAGGCCCACCAAGGCGACGAUCCGUAGCUGGUCCGAGAGGAUGAUCAGCCACACUAGAACUGAGACACGGUCCAGACUCCUACGGGAGGCAGCAGUGGGGAAUAUUGGACAAUGGGCGCAAGCCUGAUCCAGCCAUACCGCGUGGGUGAAGAAGGCCUUCGGGUUGUAAAGCCCUUUUGUUGGGAAAGAAAAGCAGCAGGUUAAUACCCCGCUGUUCUGACGGUACCCAAAGAAUAAGCACCGGCUAACUUCGUG
rnacentral:rRNA from 1 species